GCUCUCUGCUAAAGACAGUAGAAGUCCAACCUCUCCCACAGUCAGACUGGUCAUUGGUCAUCUCCACUCCUAGAAGAGUUUCAAACAUCUGUACUUUCAGACUGGAGGAAAUAAGAGGACCCAGUGGUUGUACUGGAGAAUUUUAUCCCUAAGCCCUGCCUGACAAUACAACAAAACUGACAUCAAGGACGAAUGAAGAAACAGUGAACCAGACAGUCUAUAACCAGCAUGGAACACUAUUG
rnacentral:lncRNA from 1 species